AUGACAGGUUUGAAGGCAGCAGAAGCGAGUGCUGAAUUUGGCCUACACAGAGUGGUACCCGAAUCUGACUCCAAGGUCCUUGUCCAAGCUCUGAACUCUGAUGAUUACGACCAGGCCACGAUUGGCGUCCUGUUACACGAGACGCAUAGUGUAUGUCAUGCAAACUUUGAGUCAUUUAGUUUCAAUUUUUAUAAAAGGGACUCUAAUAAGGUGGCCCAUGAACUAGCCGUGUUUCUCUUCAGGGCAAGAGCUGCUGAUCUUUCGUGGAUCGAGCAGGCUCCAGACUGUGUUUUGGUGCUGGUCGCCAGCGAGAUCGCUGCGCGGGUUUAG
rnacentral:rRNA from 1 species